UGCAACUGCAUGACAGCUGCAGCAAGA
rnacentral:misc_RNA from 1 species